UACGGAGGGUGCAAGCGUUGCUCGGAAUUAUUGGGCGUAAAGGGUAGGUAGGUGGUCUCAUUUGUCAGAGGUGAAAUCCUUGGGCUUAACUCAAGAAGUGCCUCUGAAACGGUGAGACUAGAGUCCUGGAGAGGGUCGUGGAAUUCCCGGUGUAGCGGUGAAAUGCGUAGAGAUCGGGAGGAACACCAGAGGCGAAAGCGGCGACCUAGACAGGCACUGACACUCAAGUACGAAAGCGUGGGUAGCAAACAGG
rnacentral:rRNA from 1 species